UACGUAGGGGGCAAGCGUUAUCCGGAAUCACUGGGUGUAAAGGGUGCGUAGGCGGUUAUGCAAGUCAGAUGUGAAAUGUCGAGGCUCAACUUCGGAACUGCAUUUGAAACUGCGUGACUAGAGUACAGGAGAGGUAAGUGGAAUUCCUAGUGUAGCGGUGAAAUGCGUAGAUAUUAGGAAGAACACCAGUGGCGAAGGCGACUUACUGGACUGAAACUGACGCUGAGGAGCGAAAGCGUGGGGAGCGAACAGG
rnacentral:rRNA from 1 species